AUUUUGUAGAGAGUUCCCUCCCCACUUUUACCAAUUGCUUUUGCUCUCGUCAUAAUUAUACCUGUCCACCCACCAUCACCACCAUGGAUCCUUCUUUGGCUUCUUCCACUACCAACGUUUUAAACCAUUCUUCGUCCCCAAGACUUUCUCACUUUUCCACCGUUAAAAACUCAGAGACAACACAGUGUCUUCAAUGCCACGCCCAGACAAGAAUUGAUGGUACUCUGCCCUCUGUAAAUGAAUUUCUGGUUUGGUUUUACCCUCUGGUCUUUGGAAGAAAUGAGAGAGAAAGUAGAUGAUAAUGCCAUGGAGUGGUGGUUAACAGUGGUUUACUAUCUCAAACAUCACAAGUCAUCUACUUUUCGUUUUCUUGUUCUUUGCAAGAAACAAAAUGGAGUUUACAUUUGAAACUCGUAUUUGAUGAUGCUGUAUGUGCAUGUCUCUUAAUUCUCACUUUUUCUUAUACAGAUUUCUGUAGAUAUGAUCGUGCAGUAGUUCAAGGGAAGAAAAUGGACAAGAGGUAUGUGCACACCAAAACCAGAAUUUCCAAUCCAUUCACACUAAGUUUCAUUACAUCAGAAAUCAGGUGAAAAAAUUACAAAAGAAAAAAAAAAUAAAGCCUUAUUCUAUACCCUUUGCACACCCAAAAACAACAAAAAAGGGAAUCCAUUUCAACUGGUUAAUCUUCCUUUCUUUUUUCCUCUAUAUCUUUCAUCAUAUAUAGGCGAGCUGCCGAUAUAUACUUACACCCUCAAUGACUAAGGAUUAUAUAACAGGUUCUGUACAGAUCAUAAAUCAAGACCAAAAACUGGAACACCCAAAACCAUAUAAAACGAGAAUAAAAAACAAAAAAAUGGCACACCGAGCACACUGGGUUUAUGUGAGUAUCAAGGUAGUAAAUCUGGUGGGGAACAAAAAAUGCAGAACACGUUAGAUGUGUUGGGGAAUGGCAGAAUGCGCCAUAACAUUCUAGAUCUGGGGGUUUUGGAAUGCAGAUCUCAACAUGCCUAUGUAAAAUUCAAGGCCGGAAUGGCUGCAAUCCUAGGAAACUGAAAUCAAUUGAGAAGGCAAGAACUCAACAAUUGACCUGGACCAUGUAGAAUUUCUAUUGGGAGGUAUAUUAGAGAUGCUGAUUAUAAACUAUGGAGGAGGGCUCUUUUGCAGGAUGGUGGUUGUGAAGGAUUGGUACUUGGGUCAGGGCAAGGGGACUCCAUUCCAAGUGUUUUUAGUAGGAAGCUCCUUUCCUGUGAAAAAUGCAACAAAAUCCCCUGGUUUUUCAAUCUUAGGUUUUCUGUGAGGGGAAUUACCAUCCUUGGCAUUGUUGACUUGAUGUUCUGCUGGCAAGUUAUUAACAUUGCGGAUGUUCUGAACCAGUACAGCAAAAGGAGCUCUCAGCUGCUGAUUCGUCGUUCCACAUUGUUUAUGUGAUCUGUCUCUUAAGUUGUAAUUUUCUGUGAGAUCAGGGAUGUAGGUCCUUCUGGAUGGCAAAAAGAAAUGAGUCAUACACCAUGUUAAGCAAAAAUGUGAAUGACAUUUGUUCAUAAACACUCGACGUUUACUGUACCUCAUCUUCUUUAUGGGUGCUGCAGUCUCUGAAACUCCAUCUGUGUUGAACCCAUUUUGGGGUAUAACCCUCUUGUUGUUUGAAUUGAUAUAUGAACAAGCAUUCUCUUU